rnacentral:rRNA from 1 species
CCGGCAUCUUAGUGGCGGACGGGUGAGUAACGCGUGGGUAACCUGCCUUAUACAGGGGGAUAACACUUAGAAAUAGGUGCUAAUACCGCAUAAGCGCACGGGGCUGCAUGGCCCAGUGUGAAAAACUCCGGUGGUAUAAGAUGGACCCGCGUCUGAUUAGCUUGUUGGCGGGGUAACGGCCCACCAAGGCGACGACCAGUAGCCGGCCUGAGAGGGUGGACGGCCACAUUGGGACUGAGACACGGCCCAAACUCCUACGGAAGGCAGCAG